rnacentral:lncRNA from 1 species
GAAAAUUGAUUAAUUGAAAUAUGCUAGUCUAAUUGGUUGUCUUAUGUACAUUGUACAGCCCAAAUUUUUGCCCGGGCCCAUUACCAAAAUCAAAACCCAACCUAAACAAACCCAAAAUAACCCAAAUUAACCUACCUAAACACUGGCCCAAAACCCGAAGCCCAAAUUACAAACAAACCCAAAUAAAGAAAAACCUACCCCAAACCCAAAAACAAAAAAGAAAGAAACAAAGAAACCCUAACCCCUAACCCUAGCCUCUGCCGCCACACCCCACUUGCCCUGCCACCAUCUCUGCAAGCCGCCGCACUGCCACCACCGCCA